GACGAACGCUGGCGGCGUGCCUAAUACAUGCAAGUCGAACGCUGAAGCAGGAGCUUGCUCUUCUGGAUGAGUUGCGAACGGGUGAGUAAUGCGUAGGUAACCUUCCUGGUAUCGGGGGUUAACUAUUGGAAACGAUAGCUAUUACCGCUUAACAGUAGAUGUUGCAUGACAUUUGCUUAAAAGCUGCAAUUACACCAUUACCAGAUGGCCCUUCGUUGUAUUCGUUAGUUGGUGGGGUAACGGCUCCCCAAGGCGACGAUACAUAGCCGACCUGAGAGGGUGGACGGCCAAAAUGGGAAUGGGACAAGGGCCAGAACUCUACGGGGAGGAGCAAGAGGGGAACUUCGGCAAUGGAGGGAAAGCUGAACGAGGAAAGCCGGGGGAGGGAAGAAAGGUUUCGGGUCGGAAAGGUAUGUUGUAAGGGAAGAAAGAGUGUGGGAGUGGAAAGUUCACACUGUGACGGUACCUGAACAGAAAGCGACGGCUAACUACGUG
rnacentral:rRNA from 1 species